GUGGUUGGAACCAUAUCUGCCCAUGAGUCAAGAUGGAAUAAGCAGAAGCUUGGAAUGUGAAUACCAAGAGCAUUCACUGAAGUUUCUUAAAAACAAAUAUAUAAAAUAAAAUUUCCUCGUGGGCAAAGUAUACCUUGUUGUUUGUGUCAAAGUUUUGUCAGAGUUUGAUAAAGGUUUAUUUAUUUAUUUUUCAGUGUCUGAUCUGGAUGGAGGCAACGAGACAGUCAGCCAGUAUUUCCUGAGCCAGUGCUGGCAUUCAGGGGACUAAGCUAUGGCUCAUUCCCCGAAGGGGUAGGAUGGGGAUUUAGGGGUCUAGUGCUGGUUGGGACCCCUUGGAAGCAUGAUUAGGAUCCUGCAGACCUGAGCCCUGACUCUGGCUGUCUGAUGAUCACGGGUCACUGAUUGGCAUGUCCCAAGCAUCUCUGUGGCCUUGUGUGAAAGAAGGCACAGCCCUCACGGCACCGGCCAAAGCACAGCCCUUUCCCCAGCCAGCCCCAGAACCCAGGU
rnacentral:lncRNA from 1 species